rnacentral:rRNA from 1 species
CAGUCGCCACGGUAAUACGGAGGGUGCAAGCGUUAAUCGGAAUUACUGGGCGUAAAGCGCACGCAGGCGGUCUGACAAGUCAGAUGUGAAAUCCCCGGGCUUAACCUGGGAACUGCAUUUGAAACUGUCAGGCUGGAGUCUUGUAGAGGGGGGUGGAAUUCCAGGUGUAGCGGUGAAAUGCGUAGAGAUCUGGAGGAAUACCGGUGGCGAAGGCGGCCCCCUGGACAAAGACUGACGCUCAGGUGCGAAAGCGUGGGGAGCAAACAGGAUUAGAGACCCGUGUAGUCCCUGUCUCUUAUAC